UGGGGAAUAUUGGACAAUGGGGGGAACCCUGAUCCAGCCAUGCCGCGUGUGUGAAGAAGGCCUGAUGGUUGUAAAGCACUUUAAGCGAGGAGGAGGGUACUGGUAUUAAUACUACCAGCUACUGGACGUUACUCGCAGAAUAAGCACCGGCUAACUCUGUGCCAGCAGCCGCGGUAAUACAGAGGGUGCGAGCGUUAAUCGGAUUUACUGGGCGUAAAGCGUGCGUAGGCGGCUAAUUGAGUCGGAUGUGAAAUCCCCGAGCUUAACUUGGGAAUUGCAUUCGAUACUGGUUAGCUAGAGUGUGGGAGAGGAUGGUAGAAUUCCAGGUGUAGCGGUGAAAUGCGUAGAGAUCUGGAGGAAUACCGAUGGCGAAGGCAGCCAUCUGGCCUAACACUGACGCUGAGGUACGAAAGCAUGGGGAGCAAACAGG
rnacentral:rRNA from 1 species